rnacentral:rRNA from 1 species
AGAUUGAACGCUGGCGGCAUGCCUUACACAUGCAAGUCGAACGGCAGUACGGGAGCAAUCCUGGUGGCGAGUGGCGAACGGGUGAGUAAUACAUCGGAACGUGCCCAAUCGUGGGGGAUAACGCAGCGAAAGCUGUGCUAAUACCGCAUAAGAUCUACGGAUGAAAGCAGGGGAUCGCAAGACCUUGCGCGAAUGGAGCGGCCGAUGGCAGAUUAGGUAGUUGGUGAGGUAAGGCUCACCAAGCCUUCGAUCUGUAGCUGGUCUGAGACGGACGACCAGCCACACGUGGGACUGAGACACCGCCAGACU